AUUGAACGCUGGCGGCAUGCCUUACACAUGCAAGUCGAACGGCAGCACGGGUGCUUGCACCUGGUGGCGAGUGGCGAACGGGUGAGUAAUACAUCGGAACGUACCUUAUCGUGGGGGAUAACGCAGCGAAAGCUGUGCUAAUACCGCAUACGCCCUGAGGGGGAAAGCGGGGGAUCGAAAGACCUCGCGCGAUUAGAGCGGCCGAUGCCUGAUUAGCUUGUUGGUGGGGUAAAAGCCCACCAAGGCGACGAUCAGUAGCUGGUCUGAGAGGACGAUCAGCCACACUGGGACUGAGACACGGCCCAGACUCCUACGGGAGGCAGCAGUGGGGAAUUUUGGACAAUGGGGGAAACCCUGAUCCAGCAAUGCCGCGUGAGUGAAGAAGGCCUUCGGUUGUAAAGCUCUUUUGUCUAGGAAGAACACGGCUCUAACACAGUCCGGGAAUGAACGGUA
rnacentral:rRNA from 1 species